GGAAGGAUCAUUAACACGUUAUCCAACGUUAACCAAUGAGAAUCGUUUUCACGCUCCCUUCACGGAGAAUGAGCGGGGUUCGUAGAGGUGUUGAAAGGGAUUGCAGCCGCUUCGCGGUGGCUGCAGUCAGCCUCUAUCUACUACUUAUGCGUGACAGAAAUGUCCGUAUAGACGCUGUAUCUUUUUGUGGAGAUUCAUCUUGCACAGUGCUCUCCUUUCAUUGAGCUGCUGCCUGCAGGAACUAUAUACUUAACUUAUUUCACCUUUUUGCUAGUUGACUUUUAUAUGUUGUUCAUCUUACGUUUCGGCGUAAGGGUUCACACGUUUAAUUAUUUGAACGUUAAAAAUACAACUCUUAGCAAUGGAUAUCUUGGUUCUCGCAACGAUGAAGAACGCAGCGAAAUGCGAUACGUAAUGCGAAUUGCAGAAUUCAGUGAAUCAUCAAAUCUUUGAACGCAAAUUGCGCUCCUGGGUAGCCCUAGGAGCACGCCUCUCUCAGUAUCGGUUCAACAAUCUCUCAGCAGCGUGUUUGUUUUAUUUUAAUAGAAUGAAUUGCGUGUUGGCUGGAUAAUGAGAGUCUGUAUGCUUGCGUGCAGUCUCUUUAAGUACAUGGAGUUAGCAUCCAACUUUCGAUCAAUUCAGUUUCGGCUGAUAGUCAGUCUCCGACUGUUGUUCGUAUAGUGACGUGAAUAUUGGACCCUUGUGGUCUUUCCUUUUACGUUUAUCUAUUGAAUGACGCUUAAGUUAGAGAUUUGGUGAACGUUCGUGAAGUAAUGUUUUAACGCGAGAAAACCAUAUGAUUAGCGAAGAAUAGUAAUAUAAUUUGCGAAUCUGAAUUUUGAUCUGAGAUGAAGUGAGACAACCCCCUGAAUUUAAGCAUAUUAAUAAGGGGAGGAAAAGAAACUAACAAGGAUUCCCCUAGUAACGGCGAGUGAAGCGGGAAGAGCUCAAUUUGAAAAUCGAUCUCCUAAACGGGACGUCGAGUUGUAGCCUAGAGACGUACUAUCAGUUGAAACCUGGGUAUAAGUUCUUUGGAAUGAGGCAUCAUAGAGGGUGAGAAUCCCGUAUAUGACCCAAAGUUUUCAACGUACGAUGUAUGUUCAUCGAGUCGAGUUGUUUGGGAUUGCAGCUCUAAAUGGGUGGUAAGUUUCAUCUAAAGCUAAAUAUAGGCGAGAGACCGAUAGCGAACAAGUACCGUGAGGGAAAGAUGAAAAGAACUUUGAAAAGAGAGUUAAAAGUACUUGAAAUUGCUAAGAGGGAAGCGCUAGAAACCAGUGAUACGCUGAGUCAAUCGCUUUCAGCCCCACUAGCUUGCGUACGUAAUGGGCAACCUUGCGUGCGUAAUCGAAAGGGUGGUUGGGGGUUUAUGAUUUAGUGUCAGUCAAGAUCAAUUCGAAUUGUGGGAGAAGGUAGCGAGAAAGGUAGGUGAGCAAUCACUGUUAUAUUCUUGUUACUCUACCUCGGCUUGGAUUGAGGAAGUAAUGGUGCGCCGCUUGCGGCUUGGUCUCACAUCUCUGUUGCCCUAUCUGUUCUGAUAGCAAUGCUAUCUUUGUGGAGAAAGGUAAUACUGGGUGUGGUGAUUCUAUGUGCCAUCACGAUCUUGUACGAAAUGGUUUUUAUCGACCCGUCUUGAAACACGGACCAAGGAGUCUAACAUCUAUGCAAGUAUUUUGGUGCAAAACCAUGAUGCGUAAUGAAAGUAAAGGCAGACUUGUUCUGCUGAGGUAGGAAUCCCGUCAAAAGGAGGCACUAUCGACCGAUCAUCACUUGUGAAAGAUUUGAGUAAGAGCAUAUCUGUUGGGACCCGAAAGAUGGUGAUCUAUGCCUGAACAGGGUGAAGCCAGGGGAAACUCUGGUGGAGGCUCGUAGCGAUACUGACGUGCAAAUCGUUCGUCUGAUUUGGGUAUAGGGGCGAAAGACUAAUCGAACCAUCUAGUAGCUGGUUCCCUC
rnacentral:misc_RNA from 1 species